AGUGAACGCUGGCGGUAGGCCUAACACAUGCAAGUCGAACGGCAGCACAGUAAGAGCUUGCUCUUACGGGUGGCGAGUGGCGGACGGGUGAGGAAUACAUCGGAAUCUACUUUUUCGUGGGGGAUAACGUAGGGAAACUUACGCUAAUACCGCAUACGACCUACGGGUGAAAGCAGGGGAUCUUCGGACCUUGCGCGAUUGAAUGAGCCGAUGUCGGAUUAGCUAGUUGGCGGGGUAAAGGCCCACCAAGGCGACGAUCCGUAGCUGGUCUGAGAGGAUGAUCAGCCAGACUGGAAGUGAGACACGGUCCAGACUCCGACGGGAGGCCGCAGUGGGGAAUAUUGGACAAUGGGGGCAAGCCUGAUCCAGCCAUACCGCGUGGGUGAAGAAGGCCUUCGGGUGGUAAAGCCCUUUUGUUGGGAAAGAAGAGCAGCAGGUUAAUACCCCGCUGUUCUGACGGUACCCAAAGAAUAAGCACCGGCUAACUUCGUG
rnacentral:rRNA from 1 species